AUGAUAGAGCAGCCAUCAUUAGAAAAGGGAGAUGUGCAUUUGGAGACCGCAAAUGGUACAAGGUUAGUCCUCAAAUCUGUGAGACAUGUUGAGGCACUUUGUCUUAAUAUUAUCUCGGUUGGUUUGCUUGAUGGAGAUGAUUACUUGAGCAGUUUUGGAAAAGGGCAGUACAAGCUCACCAAAGGCAACAUGAUUGUUGCAAGAGGUAAAAUGGUCUCAGUGUUGUAUCAUGUUCAUGCUAAGCUCUUUAGUGCUUCUGUCAAUGCACUAGAGAAGGAUGAUCAUUGUGCUCUAUGGCACAAGAGACUUGAGCACAUGAGUGAG
rnacentral:rRNA from 1 species